AUUAAUUUCCUGAUAAGAAAUAAAAAGGACUUCAAUAAAUAUCUAUUUUGCGUAAGUGGUAUUAUCUUUUGAGAUACUAUAGACAUCGUUCGAACAUAUCAAAGAGAGACAGAAUGACCACGAAUCUAUUAUUUAUUAUUCUUCUACUAAUGGGAACAAUGUUUCUAUGUACAUGUACAAGCCAUGGCGGGAAAACGGAGUUUAGGACAAUUCAUAACAUCGCAAAAAGAAAUGUUGGAAAUAAUGCUGUAUCAUUGCCUAGGAUAGCAAAAAGUUCGCGCAGGAAAAGAAUCGGCGGAAUGUAUAACACCGGAGCAAAAAGACGCUGCCGAGGAAGAAGUUGUAGAGGAUAGACAUAUUAAAACUUGUUCCCAAAUGUGUUAAUUGAUAUUGACACCAAAGACAACGGAAGGACCCCAUCUCCAAGUAUCCCAAUUCUUAGAAUAAAUUGUUUCUUAAAACAAGAAUGAUUUUUGAAUAAACAUUUUUUGUUUUUCGA